UACAGAGGUCUCAAGCGUUGGUCGGAUUCAUUGGGCGUAAAGGGUGCGUAGGCGGCGGGGCAAGUCGGAUGUGAAAUCUCAGGGCUCAACCCUGAAACUGCAUUCGAUACUGCCUUGCUCGAGGACUGGAGAGGAGAUUGGAAUUCACGGUGUAGCAGUGAAAUGCGUAGAUAUCGUGAGGAAGACCAGUGGCGAAGGCGGAUCUCUGGACAGUUCCUGACGCUGAGGCACGAAGGCCAGGGGAGCAAACGGG
rnacentral:rRNA from 1 species